GUUUCUCUUCAUGCUUGGUUUCCUACAGAGCUUUCUGGACAUGGGCACAGGCCUUCUGUUAGCUCCUAUGACUGCUGUGCAAGGUGAUUGCAUGGGGGAACAGAUUACCCAGAGCAGAUGUGGAUUCUACAGCCCAGUUUUUUCAAAAUCCUGAGAAACCUGAUCUGAAUUCAACGUUAACCCUGCUUUGUGGACAAGACUGGGUGAAAUGACCUCCUGAGGUUCCUUCCAACCUAAAGAUCUUCAUAGCAGAUUUUACAUCCCAGUGAUUUGAGAAGUUGCAUUCAAAACAAGGGACAUACGCUCCUCCCAGAACAGAAUUUUUGUCUAUGGUGUUUUAAGAAAAAACAACCAGUUGCUCCAUCUGUCAGUAAACCUCUUCCAAGAAGAAGGAAAUAUCAACACAACACAAAAUGUGAUUGCCCUUUGAAAGCAAAAAAUCCCAGGCAGUGUAACCUUUAGAUGCAGCACAUAAUGGGAGACAAUCAUCUGACAAAAAACAGAAGAGAGUUUGCAACUCUGACAUUUAUUUCCCCGUGAUUUAAAAGAAUGCACUCCUCAGCAUACACAGCUGCAGCCCUGCUUGUCCUGCUUUGUAACAGCCUUGCCCUGCUGGAACCACCUGAUGAUAGCAAAUUUCAGUCCUCUGGGUCACCUGCUCUACUGGGAUGGAGAAGCUAUCCGUAUUUUUGCAUGUAACACCAUCAGAGGUCCCUGACAUUUAAAUACAGACAACUCAUGAGGAUCCAGCCUUGGAGGAUGACCUUGUUGAACGCAGGUGGGAAUGGUGAGGACUUGCACCACUCCAAUGCUUUACUGAGUUUCAGUGGGAAAGUGGGAAGAAACAGUGAUGGGACUCUCAGUAAGGCCACAUAUGCAAGGUGCAGUCGAGACACCAGGUUGGGUUCUUUAGAACUGGCUCAGGAAAGGGAGCUUGCUGGCAUGCACUGUGCUCCCGCUGGUGUGCUCUAGAAAGUAUCUGGCCAUCAGGAGAGUUUCUCCUGAGCAGCAGAUGAUGUGAUGGAAAAAAUAACAACUAGUGUUUUCAAUGGAGUGAAAAAGGCAAAGUGUGGUGGCAAUAAAAUAAAACCUUUGAACUCUGUAAUCGUGAAGCAAGCUACAUUUUUCACCGUGAGCAAAGAACAUGGCUCAAGGUUCACUUUGAAGCUAACUUCUCCCUUCUUUUCUUUUUUUUUCCCUUCCUUCCUUUUAACCUAGCUUAAACUUCAGGCUCACAGUAUCUGACAGUGUUUUUCUAAAUAAUGAAAGAGAGCCAUGCUAUCCAAGGCACUCCUGACGGGCAGUGUGAAGACAGACCUUCCUUCACACUGUGGCUUUUCUACCUAAACAGAUGGAAGUUCCCCUCCCUCCCGCUGCUUUCCAGCACUCCUUACAUCCUGCCCCCACAGGGAGCAGCUGAAUCCUGGCUUUUUACCAAGCUGGCCAAGGGCCGGAGGUGCUGUGCUGCCCUUCCUCUUCCAACCAUGGUGCCUGACUGCUUGUGCAGGCUGCCAGCCCUACAUCCCAGGUCUGUUUUGCUGCGAGGAGGGAUUGAGAAUCAAUGGCAGCAAGGAACAGAAUGGCAGCAAAACAGGGGGCAAAAGAAGAGGAUCCAUACUGGAAGGGAGGUGGGAUGGAACUGGGACUUGUUCCUGGGAAGAUUCUUUUCUUCCUUAGAUCAGACAGCAUCUGCUUCUUUAUUUUCUCUACCCUCAGCAUGACGCUUCUGGUUUACAUGAGGUUCUCCUCAUUUAUUUGGGCUGUGGUAGCACAUAGAGGCUGAGCCUGGGGUUGGGAUGCUUCUGUGCAAGGUGCCUCCUCACCCUACCCCCAGUACUAGCCCUGAGCAUGAGUUUGUUAUAAUUGUGGCACAUCCAGUGAUGGCUUUGCCUAAAAUUGCUCAUCUUGCUCGCUCAGCACAUCUGCACUUUGACAUAGUUUUAAUUACUGAUACAAUUGGUGGCUUUAUUUCAAACGUGGGUAAUUUCAUGACCAGUUUUUAUACACCUUUUUAGUUCUUUGCCCAUGAGUUUCUCAAAGCAAAAUCAAAUGAAUCUCUGACAUCAUCACUGUUCUUUCCUGAAAAUGGUUAUAAGGGAUGUGGCUUAAAACCUCCGGAGAUAUCAAGUAUGAUUUCAAUAGAUGUUUUUCUUAGAACAUACUGUACUACAACAUUAUCCACCUAUCACACAACAGCCAUAACAAUCUUCCAAAAAAUAUAUUUUUUUAAGUAUGUACCCAUUUUUUUCCAAUGUUAAAUUGUUAGGGCCCAAAAUAUUCAUCGCUCUGGGUGCAAAAAUUCAGAUAUACAUUUUUUUUCCCCACUGGCAGUGGGCUUCUCAUACCGAGUGCUCAUCUUUCAUUCUUAAAACAUUGAUUUCUUUUUGAGCAAUUGAAAACCACGUACAUCUCCUAUGUAAAAAGGAAAAGACUAAAGCUGUUGUUGCAAUGGAUGGAGACAGAACGGGAGACCUUCUGAUGUGCACAGGCACAUCUUAGCACAGCACCACGCCAAACAAGUUAAUGGGCAACGUAUACAGUUCAUCCUAUGUCCAUAGUUGCUUUGAUAGCAUUUUGUGGAUAAGUGGAUUCUUAUAUUUUCUAUAAAUGGAUUCUUAUAUUUUCUAUAGAAGCAUUUUCUUGACAUAGCAAAAUUUCAUAGGUAAGUGAUGCUCCGUAAACACAUUUUACAUUGGCAUCUUACAGAGAAGCAGUGUUACAACUAAGGCAGCGGCCUUGACUCACAGGGUUAUGUGAGUGCAGUGGAAAAAAAGUUUGAAUCGUGGAAUCACAGAACAGUUUGGGUUGGAAGGGACCUCAAAGCCCUCCCAGCUCCAAUCCCGUGCCAUGGGCAGGGCUGCCCCCCACCAGCUCAGCUGCCCAGGGCCGCAUCCAACCUGGCUUUGAGCGCCUCCAGGGAUGGGGCACCACAGCUUCUCUGGGCAGCUGUGCCAGGGCCUCACCGUCCUGUGAGUAAAGAAUUCCCCCCCUUUAGAACUUUUGAUUUUUUUUUUUUUAAUUAUUAUUCCCAACAAACAAUCAGUGGGAAUGCUGCAAAUUCCCGAGCUUCGUUUCUAAUGGUAAUCACCAACUUUCCUUAACAUUUCUCCUUGAAGAAGUUUCUUUUGCACGCAGCCAAAGUGACGCUCUCCCCGGAGCUGGGUGCUCGGGGCCAUUUGGCUCCACAGCGUGCUGGCAUGCAGUGAAGUUUUGAUUCCGGCUGUUUUAAUUAAAGCCUAUUUCCAUAGGAUUACUCCAGCGUGGAUCAGCUCCACGGUUCUGUUUGUUUUAAUAAACUCUCAGAGCUCUCCUCCUUCUAGAGAGAGAUUGUGCUGCAAACAAGGCAGCCCUGCGGUUCGUAGCAGAAACAUGGAAAUGCUGCCGUAAAAGAUGAAAAAAAAAAGAAAAAAAAAAAAAGCUUUGAUGGAAUUCAUUACAAUCUAUGGACGAACAGAAACAACCUACAGCUCUAAGGCAGAUGGGCCGGCACAGGUGGGCAUGCAGCGGAGCGGGACGCCGGUACGUACCUGCAGGCAGCGCGGUGCCACGUCUCCCGGCCCGCUCGCUCCGCGGGACCUUUAUAGCGCUUUCCGGGGGCUAAAAAUAAACUUUAGGGGACGGCUAAGAGCUCGGGAGGGGGCGGCCGCGGGCUCUUACAGCGAUGCUCGAGCCACGCUCCGGCUCGGGGCCGGAGCUGCGCGGCUUCUGGGCGGUGUCGGCUGUCCUCCGCCCCCCGGGCCAUCCCCCACCUGCCGCGCCCGCGGCCCC
ensembl:lncRNA